rnacentral:rRNA from 1 species
UGGGGGAUAUUGCACAAUGGGCGAAAGCCUGAUGCAGCGACGCCGCGUGGGGGAUGAAGGCUUUCGGGUUGUAAACCUCUUUCGCUAUCGAACAAGGCCCGCUUAGGGUGGGUUGAGGGUAGGUGGAGAAGAAGCGCCGGCUAACUACGUGCCAGCAGCCGCGGUAAUACGUAGGGCGCGAGCGUUGUCCGGAAUUAUUGGGCGUAAAGGGCUUGUAGGCGGCUUGUUGCGCCUGCUGUGAAAACGCGGGGCUUACUUUCGCGCGUGCAGUGGGUACGGGCAGUCUUGAGUGUGGUAGGGGUGACUGGAAUUCCAGGUGUAGCGGUGGAAUGCGCAGAUAUCUGGAGGAACACCGAUGGCGAAGGCAGGUCACUGGGCCAUUACUGACGCUGAGGAGCGAAAGCAUGGGUAGCGAACAGG